UUCGCCAAUUUAAGUAAAUGUCACCGCUAUUAAGAUAUAAGCUUUUAAAUGGCAAAGGACUGUCCUGGGAUACUCAGAACUCAGCACAGGGCUUGGCACAUAGGAAGCACUUACUAAAUGCUUAGUGGUGGAUUAGUUAUUCCAGGUCUAGGAUGCUGUAGAUCUAGGCCAAGUGACCUGAAUUCCUUCCGAGUCAGUGGAUUCUAAUUCCUCACUCAUACCGAGUUUCUCAUUUCUCCUCCUUGCUAAGGUUCUUUCUAUCUCUGGCAUUCUGUUCCGUGUUCCAAAAUUCUCUUUACUGCUAACAUCUUUUAAGCUUUUGAGUUUAUCAGACACAUUUAUAGGGGAUCAGCCUUGCUGGGGAGUGAGAGGAUGUGAGAGGUCAUUUUAUGGGAUUGAGAAGAUUCAGUUCAUGGGAGGCACUGAUCCCUUACAUCCUUGUUUGAAUCUGUUUCCAUGGAAACCGCCAUGUGGUCUCUUCCCAUCUGCCCUGCUGAUGGCUUAGUAAAUUUUACAUAGUGUGACUCACUUGAAGACUGUCAAGAUCUCAUGGAAAGUAACAUUACAGAAUUUAUUCUGACUGGUCUGUCCCAGAAUGAGGAGGUGCAGCAACUUCUUGUCUUUUGUUGACAUUUGCUACUCUUCUGUCACUGCUCCCAAGCUGAUUGUGGACUUCCAAGCCAAAGUCAAGACUAUCUCCUUUGUAGGUUGCAUGGCUCAACUCUUUGGGGUCCAUUUCUUUGGCUGCACAGAAAUCUUCAUCCUCACAGUAAUGGCCUAUGACAGGCCCUCAACCACUUUCACAGAAGAUAAGAUGGUCGCUGUGUUCUACACCAUCAUAACCCCUAUGUUGAACCCAUUGAUCUAUACCCUGAGGAACGCAGAGGUGAAAAAUGCCAUGAAGAAGCUAUGGAGCAAGAAAGUGUUGGGAGAGGCAAGGAAAGACCGUAAAUGAGAAUUAACCAUGAUUGUACCCACGACUGUAAAGUUGGGAGAAGAGCUUUCUAGCAAUUUCCCUUUAAAUCUGUCCUUCAUUUGGUCUAGUAAACAUCUUGUCAUUUUAUCCUCCAUGCCAGCCUCCUCUGAUUUGUGAUUUCUUUUACUUU
rnacentral:lncRNA from 1 species